rnacentral:rRNA from 1 species
GCCUAACACAUGCAAGUCGAACGAGACCUUCGGGUCUAGUGGCGCACGGGUGCGUAACGCGUGGGAAUCUGCCCUUAGGUUCGGAAUAACUCGCCGAAAGGCGUGCUAAUACCGGAUGAUGUCGUAAGACCAAAGAUUUAUCGCCCAGGGAUGAGCCCGCGUAAGAUUAGGUAGUUGGUGAGGUAAAGGCUCACCAAGCCGACGAUCUUUAGCUGGUCUGAGAGGAUGAUCAGCCACACUGGGACUGAGACACGGCCCAGACUCCUACGGGAGGCAGCAGUGGGGAAUAUUGGACAAUGGGCGAAAGCCUGAUCCAGCAAUGCCGCGUGAGUGAUGAAGGCCUUAGGGUUGUAAAGCUCUUUUACCCGGGAUGAUAAUGACAGUACCGGGAGAAUAAGCUCCGGCUAACUCCGUGCCAGCAGCCGCGGUAAUACGGAGGGAGCUAGCGUUGUUCGGAAUUACUGGGCGUAAAGCGCACGUAGGCGGCUUUGUAAGUCAGAGGUGAAAGCCUGGAGCUCAACUCCAGAACUGCCUUUGAGACUGCAUCGCUUGAAUCCAGGAGAGGUGAGUGGAAUUCCGAGUGUAGAGGUGAAAUUCGUAGAUAUUCGGAAGAACACCAGUGGCGAAGGCGGCUCACUGGACUGGUAUUGACGCUGAGGUGCGAAAGCGUGGGGAGCAAACAGG